UUACGGUCAUAUCACGUUGAAUUACCGGUUUUUGUACGAUCACCGAAGUUAAGCAAUGCCGCGCCUGGUUAAUACCUAGAGGGCGACCGCUUGGGAAUACAGAGUGCUGUAAG